CACGUAGGGGGCGAGCGUUGUCCGGAUUUAUUGGGCGUAAAGGGCUCGUAGGCGGCUCAGUAAGUCGGGUGUGAAGCCUCCAGGCUCAACCUGGAGACGCCACUCGAUACUGCUGUGGCUAGAGUCCGGUAGGGGAGCAUGGAAUUCCUGGUGUAGCGGUGAAAUGCGCAGAUAUCAGGAGGAACACCAGUGGCGAAGGCGGUGCUCUGGGCCGGAACUGACGCUGAUGAGCGAAAGCGUGGGGAGCAAACAGG
rnacentral:rRNA from 1 species